GAUGAACGCUGGCGGCGUGCCUAAUACAUGCAAGUCGAGCGAACGGACGAGAAGCUUGCUUCUCUGAUGUUAGCGGCGGACGGGUGAGUAACACGUGGAUAACCUACCUAUAAGACUGGGAUAACUUCGGGAAACCGGAGCUAAUACCGGAUGAUAUUUUGAACCGCAUGGUUCAAAAGUGAAAGACGGUCUUGCUGUCACUUAUAGAUGGAUCCGCGCUGCAUUAGCUAGUUGGUAAGGUAACGGCUUACCAAGGCAACGAUGCAUAGCCGACCUGAGAGGGUGAUCGGCCACACUAGAACAGAGACACGGUCUAGACUCCUACGGGAGGCAGCAGUAGGGAAUCUUCCGCAAUGGGCGAAAGCCUGACGGAGCAACGCCGCGUGAGUGAUGAAGGUCUUCGGAUCGUAAAACUCUGUUAUUAGGGAAGAACAUAUGUGUAAGUAACUGUGCACAUCUUGACGGUACCUAAUCAGAAAGCCACGGCUAACUACGUG
rnacentral:rRNA from 1 species